UAGCUAGUUGGUGAGGUAAUGGCCCACCAAGGCGACGAUCGGUAGCCGGACUGAGAGGUUGAACGGCCACAUUGGGGCUGAGACACGGCCCAGACUCCUACGGGAGGCAGCAGUGGGGAAUAUUGCACAAUGGGGGAAACCCUGAUGCAGCGACGCCGCGUGGAGGAAGAAGGUCUUCGGAUUGUAAACUCCUGUUGUUGAGGAAGAUAAUGACGGUACUCAACAAGGAAGUGACGGCUAACUACGUGCCAGCAGCCGCGGUAAAACGUAGGUCACAAGCGUUGUCCGGAAUUACUGGGUGUAAAGGGAGCGCAGGCGGGAAGACAAGUUGGAAGUGAAAUCCAUGGGCUCAACCCAUGAACUGCUUUCAAAACUGUUUUUCUUGAGUAGUGCAGAGGUAGGCGGAAUUCCCGGUGUAGCGGUGGAAUGCGUAGAUAUCGGGAGGAACACCAGUGGCGAAGGCGGCCUACUGGGCACCAACUGACGCUGAGGCUCGAAAGUGUGGGUAGCAAACAGGAUUAGAUACCCUGGUAGUCCACACCGUAAACGAUGAUUACUAGGUGUUGGAGGAUUGACCCCUUCAGUGCCGCAGUUAACACAAUAAGUAAUCCACCUGGGGAGUACGACCGCAAGGUUGAAACUCAAAGGAAUUGACGGGGGCCCGCACAAGCAGUGGAGUAUGUGGUUUAAUUCGACGCAACGCGAAGAACCUUACCAAGUCUUGACAUCCUGCGACGGACAUAGAAAUAUGUCUUUCCUUCGGGACGCAGAGACAGGUGGUGCAUGGUUGUCGUCAGCUCGUGUCGUGAGAUGUUGGGUUAAGUCCCGCAACGAGCGCAACCCUUAUGGUCAGUUACUACGUAAGAGGACUCUGGCCAGACUGCCGUUGACAAAACGGAGGAAGGUGGGGAUGACGUCAAAUCAUCAUGCCCUUUAUGACUUGGGCUACACACGUACUACAAUGGCGUUAAACAAAGAGAAGCAAGACCGCGAGGUGGAGCAAAACUCAGAAACAACGUCCCAGUUCGGACUGCAGGCUGCAACUCGCCUGCCGAAGUCGGAAUUGCUAGUAAUCGUGGAUCAGCAUGCCACGGUGAAUACGUUCCCGGGCCUUGUACACACCGCCCGUCACACCAUGAGAGCCGGGGGGACCCGAAGUCGGUAGUCUAACCGCAAGGAGGACGCCGCCGAAGGUAAAACUGGUGAUUGGGGUGAAGUCGUAACAAGGUAGCCGUACUAGUAC
rnacentral:rRNA from 1 species